UACAGAGGGUGCGAGCGUUAAUCGGAAUUACUGGGCGUAAAGGGUGUGUAGGCGGAUAGGUAAGUUAGAUGUGAAAUCCCCGGGCUUAACCUGGGAACUGCGUUUAAAACUGCUUAUCUAGAGUAAUGUAGAGGAUAGUGGAAUUUCCAGUGUAGCGGUGAAAUGCGUAGAUAUUGGAAGGAACACCAGUGGCGAAGGCGACUAUCUGGACAGAUACUGACACUGAGACACGAAAGCGUGGGGAGCAAACAGG
rnacentral:rRNA from 1 species